ACCUUUCCAACCAUAGGUUGUGGGUUCACAGGAGACGUCGGGAUAAGGAGAUAUGGAUGUUUUAAGACAGCAAGGUCCCAACCCGUUUUCAAGUUGGGUCAACCCAUUUUCCCCUUGGUAUAUAAAGAAAAUAUUACCCUAACAGCCCAUUUUUCCUCCAAAACUCAGAUUUUAGAGAGAGGAAGUGAGAGAGAAGGGAAAUUAGAGAGAGAAAGUAGAAAAUCAACCAAGUUUAAGGCCCCGAAUCCCAAAGCUCGUGAAGGAAAAUGUGUAGUACAAGUCGUUGUCGUCAUUUUAAGCCCAAGAUCGGACUUGGGGGUGUUGAUUUCGUGAUGACUACCCAAAAGAUUGAAGUUGAAGGGGGUGAAGGACAUUGUGAUACGCCCAAAAGCGGAAGGUUAAGGUACUGAUAUACAGGACGACACAUCUGCUCAGUAGGACAGCAUUCGUAUCAGCUUAUUUGUGAGCCCCAUCUCAUUCGGGGUUUAGUCAACUUUUAUCUUAUGAUUAGUUAUGCAUCUAAAGGUAUGCUGGGGGCCUUGUCCCAGUAAGUAUGUUUUUCAGUCAGACUCAUGAUAGAGGUUUCAUAGACUAGAACAGACAGUUAUGUCAUGUCAGAUAAUCGAAGUCGCAUAGCCAUUUUGGCUCACUCAUGUUUAAACAAGUACUUUAUUAAGUAUUAUGACUUAUUAUGUUUUAUAAAGGCU